UGAGGAAUAUUGGACAAUGGGCGCAAGCCUUAUCCAGCCAUGCCGCGUGCAGGAAGAAGCAUCUAUGGUGUGUAAACUGCUUUUGUACUGGAAGAAACACUCCUACGUGUAGGAGCUUGACGGUACCGUAAGAAUAGGGAUCGGCUAACUCCGUGCCAGCAGCCGCGGUAAUACGGAGGAUCCAAGCGUUAUCCGGAAUCAUUGGGUUUAAAGGGUCCGUAGGCGGCUUAGUAAGUCAGUGGUGAAAGCCCAUCGCUCAACGAUGGAACGGCCAUUGAUACUGCUAGACUUGAAUUAUUAGGGAGUAACUAGAAUAUGUAGUGUAGCGGUGAAAUGCUUAGAUAUUACAUAGAAUACCAAUUGCGAAGGCAGGUUACUACUAAUGGAUUGACGCUGAUGGACGAAAGCGUGGGGAGCAAACA
rnacentral:rRNA from 1 species